rnacentral:rRNA from 1 species
UACGAGGGGGGCGAGCGUUGUUCGGAAUUAUUGGGCGUAAAGGGUGCGUAGGCGGUUUGGUAAGUCUGAUGUGAAAUCUAUGGGCUCAACUCAUAGUCUGCAUCGGAAACUGCCGGGCUUGAGUAUGGGAGAGGUGAGUGGAAUUCCUGGUGUAGCGGUGAAAUGCGUAGAUAUCAGGAGGAACACCUGUGGCGAAAGCGGCUCACUGGACAGGUACUGACACUCAACUACGAAAGCGUGGGGAGCAAACAGG